AAGAAAAUGAACUCAACACAAUUUAGCUUUUCAAACUCUAUAAAUAUGGCUAACAAGUUCUCUUUCUUUUUUUGUGUUCUCCUUGUGACAUUGGUUGUCGAUUCAUUUUGGUCUUCGAAUAUACAAGUGAUGGCUUUACGAUACAUACCUUUAGAAGUACAAGAAAUUGAGCAGAUUGUACUACCAAAACUUGCCAAUAAAAAGGGAUGUUACACUCUUUGUUCAUCAGAUGCAAAUUGCAAUUACAAAGGUUCAGAGUGUAGACAAUGUCGAACAGCUCAUAAUCAUUAUGAUAUUACAAAAAGAUGUUAUCAAAGGAUUUAAUUUUAAUAUCAUAUAAUAAAAUUAAUUACUAUUUUUUUUAUGGUCUCA